AUUGAACGCUGGCGGCAUGCUUUACACAUGCAAGUCGAACGGUAACAGGCCGCAAGGUGCUGACGAGUGGCGAACGGGUGAGUAACGCAUCGGAACGUGCCCAGUCGUGGGGGAUAACGCAGCGAAAGCUGCGCUAAUACCGCAUACGAUCUAUGGAUGAAAGCGGGGGACCGUAAGGCCUCGCGCGAUUGGAGCGGCCGAUGUCAGAUUAGGUAGUUGGUGGGGUAAAGGCUCACCAAGCCAACGAUCUGUAGCUGGUCUGAGAGGACGACCAGCCACACUGGGACUGAGACACGGCCCAGACUACUACGGGAGGCAGCAGUGGGGAAUUUUGGACAAUGGGCGCAAGCCUGAUCCAGCAAUGCCGCGUGCAGGAAGAAGGCCUUCGGGUUGUAAACUGCUUUUGUACGGAACGAAACGGCUCUCACUAAUACUGGGGGCUAAUGACGGUACCGUAAGAAUAAGCACCGGCUAACUACGUGCCAGCAGCCGCCGUAAAAC
rnacentral:rRNA from 1 species